GUGUGCGAGCAUUCAUGUGAUCACAGCGUGUGUUUUGGUGCGCGACACCACAACAACCGUCCCUGAUAUUGUUCAGACUCUCAUCGCCUGAGGUUGGUCUCCAUGGAGACGGCACAUCAGUGAUGUCAGCGCACAACGACCUCGCGGUAAACAUCUGCGCGGCGUCCUCUGUGGAGAAUAUGAACACUGGAGUCAAUCAGGGAAUCAAUUGGCUAAUGUGUUUGAGGGCCGCCUGUGUGAAGAUCUGAGCGUGCUCAGGAGUGGUUUAUUUACAGAGGAGGAGACGAGGACAGAAGCUGUCCCCACGGUUACCAGCUUGCCUGCAUAUUCCAUGUGCAGAGUCAGGUGUGAGGCUGAGGACAGGAUGGAGAAGAGAGGCUGACUGGACCAGCAUCCUUCCUGCUCUCCCUCUGACUGCAGACACCGGCAGACAGCAGGAGAAUUCCUUUGAUACCGGAGCAACACGGGGAACAGAUACCAGCUCCUGGCAUGGAGGAUUGGGUGGAUCCACCAAGAGAAAGAAGGCGAAGAAGGGCCGAGUGAGGCACUUCGGAAAGUUCAACUCAGACACGCACGGCUGUAGUGGAGUCCAAACCCGGAGCUGCAGCGCGUCCUCAGACUGCUCAGGAUGCUUGGGGCUGUACACCUGUAACCUGCUGCUUGGAACGUGCCAGCUGAAGGGCCUGUCCCAACAGACAGAUAAAUUCCUCCAGACCCUGAGGGAUUUCUGACCACCACACUGUACUCCCUGGAAACACUCCGUUAUAUUGAGUUAGCUGCAUAUCCUCAUUUCUUCAUAUCAGAACAGGU